CAUUCGAUGCAACGCGAAAUACCUUACCCACGUAUUGACAUGUACGAAAUCCUUUAGAGAUAGAGGAGUGCUCGAAAGAGAAUCGUAACACAGGUUUGCAUUAAAAAAGUCAGCUCGUGUCGUGAGAUGUUCGGUUAACUCCCGGAAGGCGCGCAACCCUCGUCAUUAGUUGCUACAUCUAGUUGGGCACUAUAAUGCGAAAUUCGGCGACAAACCGGAGGAAGGGGGGGAGGACGUCAUGUCAUUAUCGCCCUUAUAGGUGGGGCUACACACGUCAUACAAUGGCUGGUCCAAAGGGCUGCAAACCCGCGAGGGGGAGCUAUCCAUAAAAACCAGUCGUAGUCCGGAUCGCAGUCUGCAAUUCGACUGCGUGAAGUCGGAAUCGCUAGUAAUCGUGGAUCAGAAUGUCACGGUGAAUACGUCACAGGGUGUCAUACUCACCGCCCGUCACCCCAUGGGAGCGGGUUUUGCCAGAAGUAGUUAGCCUAACCGCAAGGCGGGCGAUUAGCACGGCAGGGUUCGCAAUGGGGUGAAGU
rnacentral:rRNA from 1 species